ACAUAACAUUUUAUGAAAGAGGCUGUGUUUGAAGUUCAAGGUUUCUCCCUAGUUCUCAAGCUACAGAUUUUGUAGCUCACUCAAAGGAAAAUGCUUCACAGAAAGAAUCUUUAAAAUGUCAGGGCUCCAAAAUCUUGGCAUUUGCUAAAACCCGGACUACUGGGAAUCAAAAGCUCAGGAAGUUCACAAACACGCACACACCAACCCCCUAAGAGGUGGAAACCUCAAGUUGACAAGAUAGGAGGUUUCAGUCGCAUCCCUGUCCAGGUAAAAGUCUCAACCCUUCAUCUCCCACGUCUGCAAUAAACUGAGUCAAGAAGAGGAGAAAUGGUAGAGGGAGGAUUUGAACCCACACAGUCUGGCCCCACCGAUGCUACUGAAAAGAACGCUUGCGUCUAGAAGCCAUAUUACAUGCAAAUAUAAAGGAUAAACUUCAUGCUGAUUAUCGAAUUUAGAUGGAAAGGUGCACAACUAAUUCACAUUUUUCAGCCUCCCGUGUAGUGAAGUGAGGCCAUAGGACUGAAUUCUGCCAAGUGGAAUGUAGAUGAAAGUUUUGUGCUCCACCUCCAGUUUCUACUGUGGAAAACCUGCAUGAUCUCUCAUCUCCAUCUGCCACAUGGAAACUAAGGAUUCUAGAGCAGGAGUCAGCAAACUUUUUCUAUAAAGGGCCAUAUGGUAAAUAUUUUAGGCUUCAUGGGUCAUGAGUGCUCUGUCUUAACUAUCUGCUGUUUUACAGGAAAAUAGUUAUAAGCACUAUGUAAACAAAUGGACAUUGUGUUCCAAUAAAACUUUAUUUAAAAAAACAGGCAGUGGGUCCACAUUUCCUCUGGGUGAUU